rnacentral:rRNA from 1 species
GUGGGGAAUAUUGGGCAAUGGGGGCAACCCUGACCCAGCGACGCCGCGUGAGGGAAGAAGGCCUUAGGGUCGUAAACCUCUGUUGUGUGGGAAGAAGGAAGUGACGGUACCACACGAGGAAGUCCCGGCUAACUACGUGCCAGCAGCCGCGGUAAUACGUAGGGGACGAGCGUUGUCCGGAAUUACUGGGCGUAAAGGGCGCGUAGGCGGUCAUUUAAGUCAGCUGUGAAAUGGUCCGGCUCAACCGGAUCAUGCGGUUGAAACUGGAUGACUGGAGUGCUGGAGAGGCAUGUGGAAUUCCCAGUGUAGCGGUGAAAUGCGUAGAUAUUGGGAAGAACACCGGUGGCGAAGGCGACUUGCUGGCCAGCAACUGACGCUGAGGCGCGAAAGCCAGGGGAGCAAACGGGAUUAGAUACCCCUGUAGUCC